GGGAUAAGGUACCGGUACCUGAUGUUUUUAAACUAACAAUUGUACAGAUUUCAAUAAAAUAUGAUAAAUUAAAAGAAAAAUAAAAAAAAUAAAAAAAAAAAAAUAAUUUGAUUCAUUAUUUCGAACAUGUCACAGAUUUCCGGUGAAGGAACUGCACCAAUUAUUUGCCGUACCUAUUAUUUCCUGAUCCCAUAAAAAGAUAGUACAUUGUACAAACUUGUCUGUACAUAGUAUUAUCUUUUACCCAGAAGUAAAACAACAA
rnacentral:lncRNA from 1 species